UCCAAUAAGACCACCAAUUAUAUGCCUUUCAAAGGAUGUCAUCUUCUGAAAGCGUUCCACAUGGCUAUAAUUUUAUUACCUCUGGUUGAAGUAGUCACAGACCAAACUAAACGGAACUGGACCAAGGGAAGAGGACACAGAAGGUAAAAGGAAGCCAGACCAGCGUGUUCUCCCACUCUAGUCCUCCUACCAAGAGGCUUUGAUAAGCAAUCACAAUUGUCCCCAGUGACAUGAAAGAAAAAGUGAAGCAUCCUGUAGGGAUGCAUAGCAUGACAUCUACAUAGACUUGGGUCAUGGAAGGAAACUGUCACCACAUACAAGUUCAAGGGAAAUGUUCAGCCUCCAGGCCACUGAAUGAAGCUCUGCCCAGGCCUUAGGAAAAGGUGAAACCCCAACUGGCAGGAGCCCCAGUUCACCAUAUCCAGGAAGGUGUCCUUGAACCAGAAAUACCCACGUUGUACUCCGACAUGAACAAGAAAUAGAUUUCUAUUAUAUUAAGCAACAGAAAAUUUCAGAUAUAUUAGUUCUCGCAGCAGGAAGGAUGUAUUGAUAAUGGCAACAUGGAUGGAGCUCAAAACAUCACAUUUAAUGAAAAAAGAGACUUACAUAAAAAAUUAUAGACUAUAUUAUUACAUUCAAAUGAAGUUCAAGAACAAGCAAAAGUUGUGGAAAAAUAUCAGAAAACUUGCUUCCACUGGAGGGGUAGGACGGGAUUUGACUGGGAAGAGGCCUAGGGGAACAUGCUGGAAUGAUAUUAGUGUUCUAUUUCUUGAUGGAGGUUUGGGUUCCACAGGUGUAUGUAUUUGCAAAAGUUAGCAAAUGUAGAGUUAAGGUUUGUGUUCUUCCUUGUGCAAUACAUUUUACACCAAAGGGAAGGCUGUAAACAAAUAUUGAACUGUAGUUAAUCAUAUGU
rnacentral:lncRNA from 1 species